rnacentral:lncRNA from 1 species
GAAGCAAAGGGAAGGAGAGCCAGUCAAAUGACGGAGAAAGAAGGAAGCACUCCUGAGGACCUACUGUGUGCUGAACAGCAGACCACAAGCAGACCCUGCCUGGACAACUACUCCUUGAUCUUUUCCGGAUGGCACCUUUGUAUUUCCUCCUUGGAGAAGUCCUUGUUUGUGAUGGCCGCACCCCCAGCUGGCAAAUGUGUGUGGCUCUCCUCUGGCCCACCUGAGGUCAAGGUGGGAUAAAGGGAGGCCUGUGCUCACAGCCAAGCUUCCACCCCACCCCGGAACUUCUUGAGAGGUAUGCUUCAGGGAGAGGGACAAUGAUGUGUGGCCCUUCCCUCUGCCAGCAGCUCUUCCCAUCCGGCUGUGGAUUAAAGGAGCCUGGGUCACUGCCCAGGCAGAAUAAAGCCUGCAAACAUCCUGAGGAUGUGCCCCUCCUUGGCAGGAAAACAGUAGAGAGGGUGAGGGUGAGGGCUUGGGUCUCCCUGAGCUUCACCCUACCUGAGCCUGUGCACACACCCGUGCACACACAUCACAGUCACGUC